rnacentral:tRNA from 1 species
CGAGGUGCUGGCCCGCGAGGGGGCACGCGGGCUGACGUUCCGCGCGCUGGACACCGAGGCGGGCGUGCCCGUGGGCACCGCGUCCAACUACUUCACC